rfam:Rattus norvegicus chromosome 12, whole genome shotgun sequence.
GGGGAUUUGGCUCAGAGGUAGAGCACUUGCCUAGCAAGCACAAGGCCCUGGGUUCGGUCCCCAGCUCCG